UUAUUUGAAACAGGAUACAACCUCGCACACCGGGUAAACAAAAGGAUAACAAAACCAAGUGGGCCUAAAAGCAGCCACCUUUAAGAAAGCGUUACAGCUCCACCACACCCAACCCAAAAUCAUUUCAACACCCAUCAACCCUUAACCCCUACUGAACCAUUUUAUACUAUUAUAAAAACUAUUAUGCUAGGACUAGUAACAAGAAUUUGCUUUUCUCCUUAAUAUAAACAUAAACCAAAACGGACCAUCCAUUGGCAAUUAACGUUAAUGAACUAAUUAUAAUAACUACCUUACUAGAAAACUCUAUAUUUUACAACGUUAACCUUACACCAGAAUAUUAAAGGAAAGAUUAAAAGAAAAAGAAGGAACUCGGCAAAUUUCAACCCCGCCUGUUUACCAAAAACAUCGCCUCUUGAUUAACAUAAGAGGUCCAGCCUGCCCAGUGACAAUGUUCAACGGCCGCGGUACCCUAACCGUGCAAAGGUAGCAUAAUCACUUGUUCUUUAAAUGGGGACUUGUAUCAAUGGCAUCACGAGGGUUGUACUGUCUCCUUUUUCUAAUCAGUGAAACUGAUCUCCCCGUGAAGAAGCUGGGAUUUUAAU
rnacentral:rRNA from 1 species